rnacentral:rRNA from 1 species
UACGUAGGGUGCAAGCGUUGUCCGGAAUUAUUGGGCGUAAAGAGCUCGUAGGCGGUCUGUCGCGUCUGCUGUGAAAACUCGGGGCUUAACCCCGGGCCUGCAGUGGGUACGGGCAGACUAGAGUGCGGUAGGGGAGACUGGAAUUCCUGGUGUAGCGGUGAAAUGCGCAGAUAUCAGGAGGAACACCGGUGGCGAAGGCGGGUCUCUGGGCCGAUACUGACGCUGAGGCGCGAAAGCGUGGGGAGCGAACAGG